CCUACGGGAGGCAGCAGUCGAGAAUCAUUCACAAUGGGGGAAACCCUGAUGGUGCGACGCCGCGUGGGGGAAUGAAGGUCUUCGGAUUGUAAACCCCUGUCAUGUGGGAGCAAAUUAAAAAGAUAGUACCACAAGAGGAAGAGACGGCUAACUCUGGGCCAGCAGCCGCGGUAAUACAGAGGUCUCAAGCGUUGUUCGGAAUCACUGGGCGUAAAGCGUGCGUAGGCUGUUUCGUAAGUCGUGUGUGAAAGGCGCGGGCUCAACCCGCGGACGGCACAUGAUACUGCGAGACUAGAGUGAUGGAGGGGGAACCGGAAUUCUCGGUGUAGCAGUGAAAUGCGUAGAUAUCGAGAGGAACACUCGUGGCGAAGGCGGGUUCCUGGACAUUAACUGACGCUGAGGCACGAAGGCCAGGGGAGCGAAAGGGAUUAGAUACCCGUGUAGUC
rnacentral:rRNA from 1 species